AGGGGUUAAUACUAUUUAUUAUAGGGUUAGUGAGGCGGAUUAGGGGUUAAUACAUUUAUUAUACUAGCGGUGGAGGCGACGUUGUGGGGGGCAGAUUAGGGGUUAAUAAAUAUAAUAUAGGGGUCGGCUGUGUUAUGGGCAGCAGAUUAGGGGUACAUAGGGAUAAUGUAGGUUGCGGCGGUGUACGGAGCGGCAGAUUAGGGGUUAAUAAUAAUAUGCAGGGGUCAGCGAUAGUGGCGGUGGCAGAUUAGAGGUUAAUAAGUGUAAGGUUAGGGGUGUUUAGACUCGGGGUACAUGUUAGGGUGUAAGGUGCAGACUUAGGAAGUGUUUCCCCAUAGGAAACAAUGGGACUGCGUUAGGAGCUUAACGCUGCUUUUUUGCAGGUGUUAGGUUUUUUUUCAGCUCAAACUGCCCCAUUGUUUCCUAUGGGGGAAUCAUGCACAAGCACGUUUUUGAAGCUGGCCGCGUCCGUAAGCACCGCUGGUAUCGAGAGUUGCAGUGGCGGUAAAUAUUGCUGGUGCAAUCUUGAUUUACACUAGAAUCAUUACCGCCAUCUGAGAGCUGGGGUUACCUGUUUUACAAAUUUAAAAAGUUGCACAAAACAUUUCAAAAAUACAUUACAACGAACAGCACUCAUAUUAACCAUGUCUAAUAAAAAUUAUUAAAAAAACUAAAUUGCUUUAAAAAGUUACAAGGGCUUAAAGAUAUGAGCCGAAGGGCUUUAACAUUUAGAUACAUAUGUUUAAAGAUGUAUAUAUAUAUAUAUAUAUAUAUAUAUAUAUAUAUAUAUAUAUAUAUAUAUAUAUAUAUAUAUGUAUGUAUACAUAAGUAUUAAUGUAUAAUUGUGUGUAUAUAUGUAUUUACAAACAUAUAUAUAAAUACAUUUAAAUAUUUGUGUACAUAUUUUUCACAUCGGGUGUGCGCAUAUUACAGUAUGCAAUCAUGUUUGCGCAUAUUACAGUAUGGGAUCAUGUAUGUGCAUAUUACAAAAAAACAUGUUAAAAAACAUUGGAAUAUGAAAUAUUUAUAUUUUCAUUUUGGGUUAGAGGUAUUGCAAAUAUGUCCGUAUUCAGCAUUGUACAAGCAGUUCUAAUGAAAUGCUUGUGCAAUACCGCCCCUUGCAGAUUUGCGGCCAAUCGGCUGCUAGCAGGGAGUGUCAAUCAGCCCGAUCGUAUAGGAUCAGGCGGAUUGUUAUACAAGGCCUCAGAGGUGGCUUAUGAGUUAAGGAGCAGCGGUCUAUAGACCGCUGCUUCUUAACUCCUGUUUCCGGCGAGCCUAAAGGCUUGCGCAGAAACAGGGUCAAUUGGGUAAAUUGGCCCAAUUCUGCCAAUAAUAAAUUGACCCCUAAGCGCGAUUUGGGUUCACACUAGCGCAAAAUAAGUAUUUUUUUCAUUUGUAAUACAAGCGCAACCUGACUAGCACAAAAAAAUAUAUACUGUGCCACUUGUUAUCUAUCCAAUAUGUUUUGUAAUUACAUUCUAUGGAAAUGCAAACUCCUAUAGUUGUUAUUUGUUUUUCUUUUCUUUUUUAAUUUCUUUAUAAUUCUAUUUUUUAUGGAGAAGUUGUUUCUUUCAGUCCUCCAUCCCCUUUUACUUUUCAGUUUUGCAGUGACAUCCCACCUGCGUAAAGUGCCUUUAAAAAGUAUUUUCCUUUAAUUUGUUGCAUUACAACCUGGAAUUAAAAUGGAUUUUCAUUUGGAUUUUAUGUAAUGGACAUGCCCAAAAUAGUCCAAAUUGGUGAAGUGAAAUGAAGAAAAUAACUUGUUUUAAAAUAUUCUAAAAAAUAAUAAACUGGAAAGUGGUGUGUGCAUAUGUAUUCACUGCCUUUGCUAUGAAGUGCCUAAAUAAGAUCUGGUGCAACCAAUUACCUUCAGAAAUCACAUAAUUAGUUAAAGUCCACUUGUGUGUAAUCUAAGUGUCACAUGAUCUGUCACAUGAUCUCAGUAUAUAUACACCAGUUCUGAAAGGCCCCAUAGUCUGCAACACCACUGAGCAAGGGGUACCACCAAACAAGCAGCACCACGAAGACCAAUGAGCUCUCCAAAUAGGUCAGGGACAAAGUUGUGAAGAAGUACAGAUCAGGGUUGGGUUAUAAAAAUGUAUCCGAAACUUUGAAUAUCCCAUGGAGAAUCAUUAAAUCCAUUAAUAAAAAUGGAAAGAAUAUGGCACCUCAACAAACCUGCCGAGAGAGGGCUGCACACCAAAACUCAUGGACCAGGCAAGGAGGGCAUUAAUCAGAGAGGCAACAAAGAAACCGAAGAUAACCCUGAAUGAGUAACAAACCUGAACAUUGAAGAUUAGAGUAUCUGUCCAUAGGACUACUUUAAGACGUGCACUCCACAGAGUUGGGCUUAAAGAAAAAAUAGGCAAACACGUUUGUCGUUCACUAAAAGGCAUGUGGGAGACUGCACAAACAUGUAAAAAGGUACUCUGGUCAGAUGAGACUAAAAUUUAGCUUUUUGGCCAUCAAUUAAAAAUGCUAUCACCUAGAUUAUGAGUUUUGCGUUAUGAGUCAAAUAGCAGCAUUGUGGCCCAUAACGCAUCAUUUUCCCUAAUGCAGCCAUUACAAGUCUUGUCGGUAUAGGUGUACCGCAAGCCUGUACCGUAAUGGCACUCCUAAAAAUGAUGUUUUUUCUUGGGAUUCCCAUAGCGCCAGUAUUACGAUUUUUGCGGUGAGGCUAAAAAGUAAAGUUCUGUAACGCCAUCUAAAGUCAGUAGUUAUAAACUACCUAUUAACCCCUAAACCAAAGCCCUCCCUGACAGCCUCACCACUAUAAUAAACUUAUUAACCCCUAAACCGCCUCCCUACUGCAUCGCAAACACUAUUUAAAUAUUAUUAACCCCUAAUCUGCCGUCCUCCCAAAAUAAAUACAAAAACAAAAAAAUACCGUUACAAAAAAUAACAAACACUAAAUUAUUGAAAAUAACAAACGAAAUUAUCCAAAAUAAAAAAGAAUUACGCUUUAUCUAAUAGCCCUAUCAAAAUAAAAAACCCCACCCAAAAUAAAAAAAAAACCCCUACCCUACAAUAAACUACCAAUGGCAUUUAAAAGUGCCUUUUGUGGGGCAUUGCCCCAAAGAUAUCAGCUCUUUUACCUGUAAAAAAAAAAAACACAACCCCCCCCCCACAGUAAAACCCACCACCCAACCAACCCCCCAAAAUAAAAAACCUAAUUCUAAACAAACCUACGCUACUCAUUGCCCUGAAAAGGGCAUUUGCAUGGGCAUUGCCCUUAAACUGGCAUUUACCUCUUACUGCCCAAACCCUAUACAAAAAAACUCUUUAAAAAGCCUAACACUAACCCCAAAACAAUGCACUUACAGUUUUUGAAGUCCCGCUUGAACGAUCUUCAUCCCUGAGUUGAAGUCCUGAUCCAGGCAGAGAGAAGUCUUGAUCCAGGCGGCCUCUUCAAUCUUCACCCCAGGCGGCAUCUUCUAUCUUGAUCCAGGAGGUGCGGGGCGGGUCCAUCCUGAAGACAUCCGGCGCAGAGAAUCUUCUUCAUACGGUCGCCGCCGUACACUGAAUCUUCAAUGCAAGGGACGCAAUCCAAGAUGGUGUCCCUUGCAUUCCUAAUGGCUGAAAAAAUUUGAAUCAGCCAAUAGGAAUUAAAGCUGCUAAAAUCCUAUUGGCUGUUCAAAUCAGCCAAUAGGAUUUAAGCAGCUCUAAUUCUAUUGGAUGAUGAAUCGGGAAAUAGAAUGAGAGCUGCUAAAAUCCUAUUGGAUGUUAUUUGAACAGCCAAUACGAUUUUAGCAGCUCUAAUUCCUAUUGGCUCAUUCAUCAUCCAAUAGAAUUAGAGCUGUUUUUUUUCCCCCAUAGAGAUUAAUAGGGCUGCGUUACGGAGCUUUUGUUUCCGCGAUCGCAGGUGUUAGUUUUCUUUUUUGCCGGCUCUCCCCAUUGAUGUCUAUGGGGAAAGCAUGCACAAGCACAUCAAAACACUGCUGCCUUUGUGUGCGGUAUGGAGCUCAAUGCAUCCAUAUCGCCCGCACAAGCCGUGUUUUUUUAAACUUGUAAUGGCAGCGCUAAAGGGGUUAAAUAAAACAACUUUUGUUGCGUUCUUGUCAGGGUGCCAGGAAUCAGACUGAGACGAGAAGUGCAAAAAUAAUCACACCUUUAUUAAUAGCAAAAAAAAAAGUAAAAAGUCCACAAGUCAAAUAACAAGCCAGGAAUCAAAACCAGAGUUGGUAGUCAGAUGAGCCGAGUCAGGAGCCAAAGCGAAUAGUCAGACGAUCUGGAAUCAGGAACAAGGAAAACAGCAGAGUCAGGUAUAAGCCAGGGAUCAGGAACCAGGAAGGACGUCAGGCAGCCAGGUAAUACACAGGAACUCUAACAAACAGGUCUGAGACAACUCAAAGGCAAAGCAUACUGAACAGAGGUCCUUUAAAUAAUAAGUGAUGACAUCACAAUUCUGAGACUGCAUCCUGUCUCACAUGGAUGAUGCACACCAGUCUGGCCAUAAAAGGAAGUGCAGGAAUUGAGCAGCAUCCCCCACAAUGCACCAUAGUCAGGAAGAGAGGUGAGUAAAAUGGCUGCCAGCAACACAUGGCAAACACAACAGGGAAAAAACCCUGACAGUUCUUUACUUUCCCUAUAGCACUCAAAACUCAUAAUCUAGCUGUAUGUCUGGCACAAAGCCAACACCUCUCAUCACCUCGAGAACACUAUCCUCAAAGUGAAGCAUGGUGGUGGCAGCAUCAUGCUGUAGGCAUGUUUUUCAUUGGCAGGGACUGGGAAACUGGUCAGAAUUGAAGGAAUUAUGGAUGGGGCUAAAUAUAGGGAAAUUCUUGAGAGAGAAACAUGUUUCAGUCUUCCAGAGCAACACUCGAGUCGCUUAAGGGAAAACAUUUACAUGUCUUGGAAUGGCCUAGUCAAAGCCCAUCCAAAUGACUAUCGGUGGUAUGACUUAAAGAUUGCUGUACACCAGCAGAAUCCAUCCAACUUCAAAGAGCUGGAGCAGCUUUGCCUUGAAGAAUGGGCAAAAAUUCCAGUGGCUAGAUGUGCCAAGCUUAUAGAGACAUACUCUCACAGCUGUAAUUGCUGUAAAAGAUGGCUCUACAAAGUAUUGACUUGGGGGGGAAGGCAUAGUUAUGCACGCUCAAGUUUUCUGUUUUUUGUGUGUCUUAUUUCUUGUUCAUUUCACAAUAAAAAAAUAUUUAGCAUCUUCAAAGUGGUAGGUAUGAUGUGUAAAAUUAUACUAACUUACAAAAAAAAAUAUUCUAAUUCCGGGUUGUAAUGUAACAAAAUAGGUAAUACUUUUGCAAUGUAGAAAAUUUCAAUAAGGACUCUGCCAUAGCCAAACAUUUCAAUGGUCUACACCUCAUUAGUAUUCCUGAUUUUGGGGUGCAUACCAUUGAAAUUGUAAAAAGAGACCCGGGGGGGGGGUGUAAGGUUUUGGUUUCAUAGGGGGAGUGUCAGUCAGACCUUGGGCACACCGUACCACCUGGAAAUGAAGAUUAUUUGAUAAGGACGUCCAGAGAACAGUAAUUCAGACCAUGCAGAAAUGAUCUAAACCUGUUCUGUUUAUUGAAAGGCACACAACAUGUCUUAUAGCCAACAAUUACAGCAUAUGGGGUUUACUUGAUGACACGUUAUGACUGCGUCAUAUGAUACCAUAUUUCAUGAACAAAAGAAGUUUAUUAAAAUAUAUGAGAGAAAAAAGAGUAUGAAGGAGUAUUUCUUAUAACAGUAGCAAAGAUACAUCUGUGCGCCUAUUUCAGCUUUAAGCAAGAUCAUUUGGGCCUCUUACCUAGAAACGGACUUCCGGGCGUCUUGCCAGGAACCUUUGCAAGGCCAAUAUUACUAAUACAAUUCUUACUAACAUCAGCAUAUUUCUCACUACAUAAUAACUGCUAUAAUAAAAGAUUCAUUAGACAAGAUGGAUGCCUAAGACAAAAUGGUGCUAGUCAUGUUAACAAUAAUCCUUAACAUACCAUCCUUUCAUUCUAACAGAAUAACAUAAAAAUAGAAAGGCGCAGAAAAUGAGGAAAGCCUUUAACAACAGUAUGAGCCUAAUACUACGGUAACAGAACUCUAUGUGAGAAUACUAUCGAGAAAAAUAUUCACAUGUCGUGGUAUAAUUUUAUAGGCUAAUAGGGCACAAUUUGUCACUGCACAUAGGUGCGGCCUCUUCAAUACACUCCGUAUACCUUCCAGCAUAUCCAAAACUACCGGUCUACCUGCACAAAGACCCAACCAGCCCCCCAUCUACCCCCAAACAAUACUGCAUCUUUUAUUUCUCCACCUGCAUUGCUAGCACCCCCCCCCCCCAAUAUGUCCAACAGUUCUUUGCUCUGUACACUCUCCACAGUGAAGCAUGACAUGGGAACAGCACAAAUGUCUCUAGGUGGCCUCUGAUCACUUUAAGAACAGUCUUUGUCCUCUUAGAGCGCUCCACCUUCCUCAGACACUUUGCUUUAAUACAGUUCAUUUGCAGUAGGGGUACUUAUCCAGUGUUCUUCCGCAGGGAGAUGCUGGAAAUCUGAUGGUUUGUUCAUGGGGUAGACAAGGUAGCCAGUGGAUCCCCAUAGCAAGCAGACACUCGAGUCAGAAGGAGUCUGAGAAGGAAACAGAAACAGCACAAGAUGAGUACAAACCCCAAUACAAUCACAAAUAUGUCCAAAUAAAACUUCUUUCAUCUUUUUUGUAAGCAUCACAAUUCCUUUAGCUUAACUCAUCCUAUGUAAUUUAAAACCAAGAAAAAACAUUGUUGAUAUAUAAUACAAACUAAAUACAUUGAUACUUUUACAGAGAAUAAUUCACAGCUUCUCUAUACAAUUUAAAUGAUACUUCAUGAAUACUAAGCAAGUGAAAACUGCUAGACUUCAUCAAGAGGCUGAAUGGCUAUGCUAAAACGUAUGGUAAGGCCUGCCCUGUAGCAAAAAUAAAAAAAUAAAACAGUCAAUAAAAAUAUUUUCUUAUAAAAAUGAAUCUCUUUACACUGUUACUUGGAACUACUAAAAAUAAAAGAACCUAGUGUUGCUUUAGUCUGCACAGCUACUAUCUAUAAUGUUUAUAAUUCUCCAACUAUGAUCCUAAUAGUCAACAAUCUCAUCUGAUAUAAACACUACUAGUUUACUAAUUAUUUUAUGCAACCUAAAUUCUCUCACACUCCUGUAUGAGGAAAGAAUACAAUCAUAACAUCAUUUAAAACUACAACAUCUCUUAAAGGUAAACACAUCUUUAUGGUAAAAAUAAUUCCUUUAAUUGACAAACAUUUGCAGAUACCAUACCAAUUAAUAAAAGGGAAAAAUACAUUUGCUUUCAUAAACUAUAAUUAUGCUACUCCCUAAAUAAAUAUUUCUCUGUAUAAUUAAUAUAAACUUCUAGCUGUGACAUGUCCUCAUUGCGUUCUAUAGGGUGAAGGGUCUAAAAUAUUCUGAUAUAUUGCAGCAUUUUCUUUAAACUAUAAAGGUGCAAACAUAUUUUCUAUACUCAGUGGGCCAUUCAAUAGGUUACAAUACUGCAAGGUUUAUAGUUACGCUUAUCUAAAGGGUUACUUUGUUUAAGCACAUAAACUAUAAUGUGCACUAAUACCAAUAAGGCAUACUUUUCUGUAGAAAAAAACUAUAUGAUUUCUUAUAACUAAUAUGAUCAACAAAAAUACACCAAUACAAAAGCAUCCAAAACAAGAAAUAUAAGUAAACGAGUUAAAACAAUACUCCCCUAAUUUAAUUGGUUGACCCUGUAACAGCAUAACAGGUCCUCAUUAUCAACCGGCAAGGCACAGUCCAGAGAAGGAUAGUCUUUAUGUCCUGAAGACACACCUCAUAGGAAACAGUCAUGGAUUACCCAGAGUCCAGUUCUGGGGCUGGUACCAGCAUGCAAUGCAAAGAAUGGAUCCAAAGAUAGUUCAGCAACUUUUACUGCAGUAUGGUGGUUAAAAAAAGCUUGACAAAAGGUCUUUAUCUUAAUUUUUCUCUCUCUCUUUAAAAGGUUUACUUGCAUUCAAUCUUUUGAAGAGUGCAUUUAUGGAAUUUUAUCUGUACAGAUUUUACCUAAAUAUGGAAAACUCAAAAAUUAUUCAGUUAGUGUCUUUAAUCUCUGGAUACAGCUGCAUGAUCUCAUCCUGCAAAUACAAAUAUUGUGUUAAGAACAAAAUAGAAAAAUAAAAACAUUUUAGGUUCACUUUCUUACUUAAAAUAAUAAUCACCCAACUCACAUAAAGAUACUCAUCAAUACUCAUCAAUAUUUCCCCCUUGUUUGCGUGAAACAUCCCAUGUGGCAUGCAAACACAAUAUAACACGAAACUAAAAGACAAAUCAUGCACUCCAUUCAUGCAUGCAGAAUACUAUUCUCAAUAGCAAGCAACAUCACAUACACCUCACUAUUCAAUAUGCCAUUCAUACAGCAGGCUUCCACACGCAGUCACAAAAGAGAAAAACAUAACAAUCUCAGAAAACAGUUAAAAUUUGUCCAUUCCACAAAACAAAACAUUAACAGCCGAAACAAACUUUAAACAACCACAAAUAACCUGAAAUUCAACACAUAUACUUACAUUCACUGAAACACAGCACUCGCAAAACACUACCAAUAAUUAAAAUCCUAUAAGAACCAUCUAUACCCUGGUUUGCAAAUUCUACUAUGCACAAUACUAUGAAAUCAUACUAAUGAUGAUACAAUCACUGCAGAUGCUCAAUAAACUCCAGUUGCAUAUUUACAAAUAAAACCCAGAACCACAAAUUUACAAAGGAACACACAAACACCUAAGUAUCCUAUUUUGGGAAAGAUCAGAUAACAAAGGUACCCCCACUGUUCUAUAUAGCUCCUGCCCACAUGCACCAUGCAAAUCCACUGUUAAAUAAAUCAGGUGUGGCACAAAUAACUUGUGAAAAACUCUAGAAUCCAGUCUAUACUUUUACAUAACCAAAAUUUCAAUAACAACACAAUUAUUUGAUUUAACUUUGUUUAUUAUUUGAUAUUCACCAUUCUGCAGCUCUCUAGCCAAAUAUAACAAUCGCAUAUAACACAAAAUAAGCUUUCUACUAAAGAAUAAUAAUAAAAUUUCCCCUUUAAAUUUUUUUCCCAAUGAUCCAUUGGCCUUACUUAUAAUAAAAAUGUAUACUGACGUUCAUUAAAUAGCCUAAGCAAGCAUAACCAGCAUAAAAACACACUCACAGGGGGGUGCAGGCUAGUUAAAGAGACAUUUUACCCAAAUUAAAAAAAUAUCUUUAAUUGAAACUGCUGACACAGUUAAAUAUACUAGUAUUAGGCUUACAGUAGACCUCAUUGUCUUCUCUGUAAAUAUUUCCUUAAAAUCCCAGAUUUUAUAUCAGUUUGCCUGUAUCCCUUUAAAUAUUUUCUCUCCUCUUUUUCUCCUCUGCUAGUCUCACAGAUCGCAACACCAAGAUUGUAGACAAUUUAUCAGUUCAGCUUGCAUUACAGAGAGAAUUAAAUUACACUGCGUAAAUAUCUGCUAUCUAAAUGGGAGAUUUAAAAAGAAUCAUACAACGAAAGGUCUAAAAAAAAUAUAUAUUUUGCAAACUGCUUAUACAGUGUUAUUGCUACUCAUGAACUCCUUUCACAUGAGUAAACUGGUCCUUUAAAUAAUAAAAUGACAAUUUUCCAUUGCUCUGUCUAAGCCCUAAGCUUCGGUUGUACAGACAAAUAUAAGAUAAGGAACAUAAUAAAAUAUACUUAUUAUCCGAAAUUCAACCCAUUGCAAUUUACUUCAUAUAUACAAAUAGACUCACAAAUGCAACUUCUCCUACAUUGUAAACUAUUCAACUUGUAUAACAAGCCAUUGACAAUACAUUAAUAUCAAAACUAUGUUACAGUGUACGGUCCCUUUAAGGACUAACCCUUUAUCACGUAAAUUACAUAUGUAUACCCUAACCAUGAUUUAGGCUGCUUGCAUUAUUUACCACACAAAUUCUACUGCUUUACUGUAUCAUGACCUGCCUAUUAAUUUACUCGCAACACAAAGGACCCAAAUACUUUUAGAUAAUUUAAUGAUAUACAGCCUAUAACCAUUUUUUGUCUUUUCCACUAACGCCGUGCACAGAUCUUGCAAAUACAAUGUUAAUCUUUUUCAUUUACCCGAACAUGACCAAAGGUCCUCAAUCAUCCGCACAUUCACAAAUCCCUUAAUUAGUUUAUAACACUACAAAAUACCUCCUUACAACGUCUGAUUUCCCAGCUAAGAAACAGAAAGGAAAAUGCACCAAGGUCAUUUUUACAGCGAUACACAUACACAAGCUCAUCUCAUCUCGCAUACCAGAAAUUCACUCCAUUUUUUUUAUUUCCUUCUCCUGAAAGCAAAUAUUUCAUAACAUACCAAAGACAUAUCAAAAUACAACAAGAUUAACUUUCCACCCAAUUUAAAAUGUAUUUGAAAGUGUCCGAAUUUGCAAGGAAUGGCCAUUUCCCCACAAAUUGAGAAAAACACACUUCAAACAGGAUAAAAAAAAUCCUCUGUUCUUUUUUUUUUUUUUAUCUAAACAACUCUUUUACACGUAAUAACAGACACAGUGAAAACCAACAGACCAUCACACAUGACACAUCAAAAUAUACAAAAUUUCCUUUUCAUUACUGCAAACAAAGAGAGAAAGAGUUUUACAAAUGGAGCUGCUGUAACAGUUUUUUUUCUGUUCUCUGAAUAUGUGAUCUGUGCAUGCGCUCGGUGGCCCCCCUUCUUUGCCCUCAACAUUCUUUAACACAGAGUUUUCUCUUUGAAUCUACACAGCAGUGUUCUGGAGUGGAUAUUUCUCUGAAAUAUUUCUGUCCUUAACAGAAACUGUUAACCCUUUUGUAGACAUUAAAAAUGCAAUAACUAUCUCUUUCUCUCCUUCACUUAGUUUGUUACAUUUAAAUCUCCCUAGAAUGCCUUUACCGAGAAAGAUCUUUCUAAUCUACUUCCUUACAGCCACCAAACUAAUUAUUGCAAGAAAAUGGAGACAGGUUUCACCUCCUUCCAUUCAAAACGUUGUAGAUCAGCUUUCACAUAUGAAACAUAUGGAACAAUAUGUCUAUAGCUUAAUGGGGAAGAUAGAUUUACAUUCUAGAAUAUGGGAGGGAUGGUCAGAACUUCACAGGGAAUAAUUAUUAGUUAGACGAUAGAGAGCAACAGAGUGUAGAGACUAUAAUAACACUCCCACUAAUAAAGGAAAUCCGCUUAUGUGACCAUGCCUCCACUCCUAUUCCCCCACUCAUUCUCAUACCUAUUUUAUCCUGUCUUUCAUACCCCCCCCCCUUUUUUUUUUUUCUCUCUGCUUGCGGGAAAGGACAGAUCAUCUCGUUAUGUCCUUGUACAUUAUAUUUCGAAUGGGAAUUGCCGGUACUGACUUCCUUAAUUAUGUAAAGACUUAGAUAAUGAAUACACUUUUAUUACAUACAAAGUAUCACUCUAUAAGAGGUAUAAGUUUUCAUGGUUGUUUAAUUAGCAUACAAUUUAUUUUGUCUCAACAUAAGAAACAAAAUGUAAAAGAGGUGAAUAUGACUUAUGAUUCAAAUACUCUGUAUUCGCAUAAAGUGUCUUAGACUCCCCCUCUGUAUGGUAAAUGAGGGUGAGGCAGUAUUUGAGAUGUUAGUUUUAUUUCAUAUAGAUAAAUGAUAUGUCAUGAGUGAAUACAUGCUAUAAUUCCACAAAAUGUGUAUUGUAUUUGUUAAUUGCAUGUUAAUGAAACACCUCAAUAAAAAAAUCUUGAUUAAAAAAAAA